GGGGCCUUCGGAACACGACGGCGAGAAAUUGAACGUCGUAAAAGGUGACAACCUGGUGCUGUUCUGCAAUGUCACUGGCCAGCCAAAGCCAGUGGUCCGUUGGCUUCGGGAUGGUCUUCCGCUCGAAUUCAGGACCGGCAUCUCGCUCCUACAGUCUGGACGAAGUCUCAAUCUUUCUUCACUCGAGCUUUCAGACGGAGGAAAGUACGUGUGCAUCGGUACGAACAAUGUGGGCUCGGCGGCCAGGGCUUUCGAAGUGGAAGUGCAAGAGCGGCCUUCCAUCGACACGUCAAGCCAAGACCGGCACCAGACGGCGUGGCUGCACCAGCCAGUGACGCUGGCUUGCCCAGCAUCCGGGUCUCCGGCACCGGAACUGAGCUGGUUCCAUGACGGGGUGCCCCUGCUGGAGUCCGACCCGAAGCUGC
rnacentral:lncRNA from 1 species